CCCAAAAGAAGGGCUGUCUUCUGG
rnacentral:piRNA from 1 species